AGAGUUUGAUCCUGGCUCAGAACGAACGCUGGCGGCGUGCUUAACACAUGCAAGUCGAACGUGAUUGAGGGCUUGCUCUCAUGAAAGUGGCGCACGGGUGAGUAACACGUGGAUAAUCUGCCUGGUGAUUCGGGAUAACACUUCGAAAGGGGUGCUAAUACCGGAUAAGCCCACGGGAUCUUCGGAUUCUGCGGGAAAAGGGGGGGACCUUCGGGCCUUCUGUCAUCAGAUGAGUCUGCGUACCAUUAGCUAGUUGGUAGGGUAAUGGCCUACCAAGGCUACGAUGGUUAGCUGGUCUGAGAGGAUGAUCAGCCACACUGGAACUGAGACACGGUCCAGACUCCUACGGGAGGCAGCAGUGGGGAAUUUUGCGCAAUGGGGGCAACCCUGACGCAGCAACGCCGCGUGAGUGAAGAAGGCCUUUGGGUCGUAAAGCUCUGUCAAUCGGGAAGAAGUUAUGGGAGUCGAAUAGGCUUUCAUAUUGACGGUACCGGUGAAGGAAGCAUCGGCUAACUCCGUGCCAGCAGCCGCGGUAAUACGGGGGAUGCAAGCGUUAUUCGGAAUUAUUGGGCGUAAAGGGCGCGUAGGCGGUUUUGUCGGUCAGAUGUGAAAGCCCAGGGCUCAACCCUGGACGUGCAUUUGAAACAGCAAGACUUGAGUACGGGAGAGGAAAGCGGAAUUCCUGGUGUAGAGGUGAAAUUCGUAGAUAUCAGGAGGAACACCGAUGGCGAAGGCAGCUUUCUGGACCGAUACUGACGCUGAGGCGCGAAGGCGUGGGUAGCGAACAGGAUUAGAUACCCUGGUAGUCC
rnacentral:rRNA from 1 species